rnacentral:SRP_RNA from 1 species
UCGCGCUAAGCGGGGAGAUAGCGGUGCCCUGCAUCUGCAAUCCGCUUUAGCAGAGCUGAAUUCCUUUGCCCCGGCCCGCAUUUGUGGGGCCGCCCGGUGUAUGGAGCGUUGAUAAGUGGGCCUCGUGCGACGGCAUCCUGUGAACCCCGCCAGGUUCGGAAGGAAGCAACGGUAAGCAAUCGGUGUCGUGCGCCGCGAGAAUCCUGCUUUGAGCCCCCAGCGCCGGUCCCGCCCGGAGAUGUUGGGUCAAAGCGAGGGUGCGCGA